rnacentral:rRNA from 1 species
AGUGAACGCUGGCGGUAGGCCUAACACAUGCAAGUCGAACGGCAGCACAGUAAGAGCUUGCUCUUACGGGUGGCGAGUGGCGGACGGGUGAGGAAUACAUCGGAAUCUACUUUUUCGUGGGGGAUAACGUAGGGAAACUUACGCUAAUACCGCAUACGAUCUACGGGUGAAAGCAGGGGAUCUUUGGACCUUGUGCGAUUGAAUGAGCCGAUGUCGGAUUAGCUAGUUGGCGGGGUAAAGGCCCACCAAGGCGACGAUCCGUAGCUGGUCUGAGAGGAUGAUCGGCCACACUGGAACGGAGACACGGUCCAGACUCCUACGGGAGGCAGCAGUGGGGAAUAUUGGACAAUAGGCGCAAGCCUUAUCCAGCCAUACCGCGUGGGUGAAGGAGGCCUUCGGGUUGUAAAGCCCUUUUGUUGGGAAAGAAAAGCAGCAGGUUAAUACCCCGCUGUUCUGACGGUACCCAAAGAAUAAGCACCGGCUAACUUCGUG